rnacentral:rRNA from 1 species
CCUAACGGGUGGCUGCAGUGGGGAAUAUUGGACAAUGGGGGGAACCCUGAUCCAGCCAUGCCGCGUGUGUGAAGAAGGCCCUCGGGUUGUAAAGCACUUUCAGUGAGGAAGAACGCCUGGUGGUUAAUACCCAUCAGGAAAGACAUCACUCACAGAAGAAGCACCGGCUAACUCCGUGCCAGCAGCCGCGGUAAUACGGAGGGUGCGAGCGUUAAUCGGAAUUACUGGGCGUAAAGCGCGCGUAGGUGGCUUGAUAAGCCGGUUGUGAAAGCCCCGGGCUCAACCUGGGAACGGCAUCCGGAACUGUCAAGCUAGAGUGCAGGAGAGGAAGGUAGAAUUCCCGGUGUAGCGGUGAAAUGCGUAGAGAUCGGGAGGAAUACCAGUGGCGAAGGCGGCCUUCUGGACUGACACUGACACUGAGGUGCGAAAGCGUGGGUAGCAAACAGGAUUAGAUACCCUGGUAGUC